UAACCUGCCCAAGAGAUCGGGAUAACACCUGGAAACAGAUGCUAAUACCGGAUAACAACAGAUGAUGCCUAUCAACUGUUUAAAAGAUGGUUCUGCUAUCACUCUUGGAUGGACCUGCGGUGCAUUAGCUAGUUGGUAGGGUAACGGUCUACCAAGGCGAUGAUGCAUAGCCGAGUUGAGAGACUGAUCGGCCACAUUGGGACUGAGACACGGCCCAAACUCCUACGGGAGGCAGCAGUG
rnacentral:rRNA from 1 species